rnacentral:ncRNA from 4 species
AUCGAACCAUCUAGUAGCUGGUU